GACGAACGCUGGCGGCGUGCCUAAUACAUGCAAGUCGAACGCAGAAGGAAGGAGCUUGCUCCUUCCGGAUGAGCUGCGAACGGGUGAGUAACGCGUAGGUAACCUGCCUGGUAGCGGGGGAUAACUAUUGGAAACGAUAGCUAAUACCGCAUAAUAGUAGAUGUUGCAUGAUUCCUACUUAAAAGGCGCAAUUGCACUACUACCAGAUGGACCUGCGUUGUAUUUGCUAGUUGGUGAGGUAACGGCCCACCAAGGCGACGAUACAUAACCGGCCCGAGAGGGGGGUCGGCCACACUGGGACUGGGGCACGGCCCAAGCUUCUACGGGGAGCAGCAGUAAGGGAUCUUCGGCAAUGGACGGAAGGCUUGCCGGAGAACGCCGCGUGAGUGAAUGAGGUUUUCGGAUCGUAAAGAUCUGUUGUUAGGGAAGGACGAAAGUUGGAAUUGAAAAUGCACGCUGUGACGGUAUCUUACCAGAAAGGGACGGCUAACUACGUG
rnacentral:rRNA from 1 species